rnacentral:misc_RNA from 1 species
AAGUCGUAACAAGGUUUCCGUAGGUGAACAUCUCUUGCAGGUUCGCCAGAAUAAAAAGUCUGCAUUAGCAGGCAACAUCUCCACUGUGCUGGGAUUUACACUUGUAAUACCAGCAGCCUAGACAUAGGCUCACAGAUCAAAUGGAGGUGGCCCAUUAGGGUUAAGAUAUGAUCGGGAGGCUGCUAGAAAUAGCAGCUACACUUCCGCUGCGGAAGGAUCAUUACAGAGAAAUUGCCCUUCGGGGUAGAUCUCCCACCCUUUGUUUACAUUACCUUUGUUGCUUUGGCAGGCCCGUCUUUU